rnacentral:lncRNA from 1 species
CGAUUCUUAUUGUGUAUGUAGAUGAUAUCAUCUUGACAGGUGUCACACCCCAAAUAUAUACAGACAACCAUAAUCCAACACGUAUGUUCUAAGGUUAUAAAUACAUCUAUAGGCCAUUUCAAAAGUUAUACAAGACAGGACCCCCAAAAUACAACACAAUAGAGUGUAAGCUCAAACCAAUAGCCCACAAAAUAACCCUACAGGUCGUCAUCCAUGUACAUUGAUCUUUGGAAUCCCGUAAGAGCUCCACAACUAGUCGUGCCCUCUACAUAGUUCCAUGCUCACCUACAAUGCAAGAACUACAUAAGCCAAUGCUUAGUAAGCAAGAAUCAUGCAUGUCAUGAGUAUGAAUAACAAGGAUAUGUGACACCAUGUCAUUUACUUUAAACAUCAUGCUAAAGAUGCAUCAUAUUCCAAUAUUCAUCAAAGUCGACUCAAAAUUAUUUCAUUUGAAAUCUUUCAUUUCAUUGGGCCCUUGACCCACCUACUAUGCACCGGAUAGAGCUCUGCAUAAUAUCAAUAUCAAUAAUCAAGUGGCCAAUAUGAAAUCAACACCGGCGAGUGGACCAUCCUCUCGUGACCGCUAGAGGCCCAUCCCCUAACUACCCCUAUGAUCACCCAAGAAGUCUCCCACCCGGCAGCGCCAAUAAUCAUAACAAGGGCAUAGUCGAGUGGUCCGCCCUCCCGUGAUCACCAAAGGUCCAUCCCCUGUCUACCUUUGCAAUCACCCAGGAAGUAUCACCCGCGAUGCCAAACAUAUCACAUAAGCAUGCCCACAUGCCUCGGUGCCCUAGUAGUGGUCAAUAAAACAUUUAUAAAGAAAACUUACUUUGAAAUCAUGUUUCGCAUGCAAAGUUUUCAACCAUGAUCAUAUGUUGUGCAUGCCAACAAAAAUGCUCCUGAAUGACAUGCUUAAUGGAAGUUGAUGUCAAUGUAUUUUGCAAUCGCAUACUCAAUGAUCAUAAUCAUCAUAUAGGGUACAACGAGCUUUCUUAUCAAAGUAUGAAAAUAUCCUAACAUCACUAUACCACAAAUGUUAGGUUCUUGCAUCGUAGUUGCAAAAUGGAUUUUUACUUACCUUUUUGCCCUUGUGUGUGCACAAGCUCUUACG